CUUUUCAUUCCCGUUGUUAUGGAGGGCCACAUCUGCCAGAGCCUGGAGUCUGCGAAGGCCGGGACCCGGUUCCCCGGCCCACAGUGGGGGUGUGCAAACCCGAGAGAACUGGUCGCUGAAACCUCUACAACUUAGUUGACCGUAACUGCCAGAGCCCUGCCCUGAAUUCCUGUCCUUACUCCCUCUUUAAGAUUGCGUACCCACUGCAGAGUGCUGAAGACGGGGUUGCAAAUUCGUGAAGAAUCAGCAUCAUGUUUGGCAGCUGAGUAUUGGAGCCAGGAGCCUGCCAUGAGGUUAUAUUCCCAGAGGAUGUCAGUCCCAAGGACCAGUAGCUGCCAUCAGUUUGGAUUCUGAAAACUAACUGGCAUCAACACUGGGUGUAGAAACAUGCUUGCCUUAUGUAUCAGAGGACAUGCUCAGCAGAUCCAAGAGAUAUAUUUGGCAACUUUUUCUAGAAAAGGCACAUUGGGUAUCAUUCAUUACAUUCUUGAGUUUUUUUGGGUUUUUUUUUUUUUUUUUGAGACAGUCUUGCUGUAUUGCCCAGGCUGGAGUGUGGUGGCACAAUCACAGCUCAUUGCAUCCUCAAUCACCCAGGCCUAAGCAAUCCUCCCACCUUGUAGCUGGGACUACAGCUCACAGCACACCUGGCUAAAAUUUUUUUUUUGUUGAGACGGAUUCUCUAUGUUGCCCAGGCUGGUCUCAGGCUCCUGGGCUCAGAUGGUCCUCCUGCCUCAGCUUCCAAAGGCACAGGCCAAGUUGUAGCUUUGUCCCUUGCCAUCAUGCCCAACAAGAGGUUCUAUACCUUUUAAUGAAUUGACUUUCAUAAAUUGGUUAUGUUGGUGGGCAAAGUUCUUUAAGCUGGAAAUUGUAAAUUCCUCCUGAAAUGUUUUUUCAUGCAGUUACCAUGAACUAAUACUACAAUAAAGGAUGGUCUUGGGUGUCAA
rnacentral:lncRNA from 1 species